rnacentral:rRNA from 1 species
UACGGAGGGUGCGAGCGUUAAUCGGAAUUACUGGGCGCAAAGCGCACGCAGGCGGUUUGUUAAGCUAGAUGUGAAAGCCCCGGGCUCAACCUGGGAUGGUCAUUUAGAACUGGCAGACUAGAGUCUUGGAGAGGGGAGNGGAAUUCCAGGUGUAGCGGUGAAAUGCGUAGAUAUCUGAGGAACAUCAGUGGCGAAGGCGNCUCCCUGGCCAAAGACUGACGCUCNUGUGCGAAAGUGUGGGUAGCGCACAUG